AUGAAGCUGUGUGAGAAGCCGUGGUGGGACAGCACAGUUUGCACUUCAGGCUGUUCCAAUUAAAGUUAAUGUCCUUUCCACUGCCAUGCGUGAAACCUUACAGGUGAGGAAUGAUUUUAAUUAUGAGUAAAUUGCAUCUUGUUCAUGGGGCUGAGGUCAGUGAUUAUACUCAGAAGACAUAAUGAAAUAAACAUGCGUAAAAUUGCAUGAGAAAAUUAAAACCUCUGGGAGAGGAGCUAGAGGGAAAACAGAACGAAGCUGAAUGGUGGAACAAAUAACAUCAGAUUUACAAAAACAGUGGGAAAAAAUUAUGUUAUCUCUUGCUGAGGCUGCAGACAGCGUGGUGGUACCUGAACUCCUCCUGCGUGUGAGUACCAGUAGUGUUAUGUCAGCACAAGCUGCAGUGCUUCCCCUGGGGCUGGCUGUCGCUGGUGUUUCCUCCCUUGUUGCAGCCUAGCCUGCAGUGCUCUUGCAUCUCCCAGUGCACAGCGUGGCUCUGCUCUGACGAUGCCAGCCCUCAUUAAGUACAGGACUGGCACCUCGGCCCAGCGGUGUGGCAGGAGGGCUGCAGAAUCGCAGCUGUUGAUUACCGAAGAUGUUAUCACGUAGCACUCAUACAGUCAAGUCUUGCGGAGAUCGGAGCUGGACUGCUUUCUAGUGCAAAGGCAUGUAUUAGGCCAAGCAGAGUCUUCCAAGGAAGAAACACUAAAGAAUUAAUCUGCUCAUCCAUCUCAGCGAACAUUUCACCUGACCAUAGGUGACUGAAUUCACUGUGAAAUGGUUGCUGAAGCCAGGGAAUAGAGAUCUGCGUGUCCAAGGGAGGCAGCACCUGGGCCAGCACGGCGCAAUUUAGCUGUCCUUUGCUUCACCAAGUCUUUAUGACAGAGCUCCUAGGAUCACACUCACUAUAGGAAGGAAAGAUCUUUUGAUAGAUCAACGUAUUUCUACUUUUUUUCUAAAUAAUUGUUUUAAUGGCAGGCAAGAACAACUACAUUUAACCAUCAAGAAAUAAGUAUCUUAUUAAAAACAAGCAAGCAGCAAGUUUGACGUUUGACUUAGCAUCUCAUGCUGAUCUAUGUGGGAUGGGGAGGAGAUUUCACAGCAGACAAUGAUGAUCAGAAGCCAGGCAGCUGCAGGAGCUGGCCAUGGAAGACCAGGGCUGAGAACAAUGUCAAGUUUUUGGAAGGCGGUUUUUACCCAAGAGCUGCUCAUCUGGAAGAAGGGCCUAUGGGAUACUCUUCUAUGUGCUGUUGCUUCAUGGAGUGAUAGUGGGGAACUGAACACCCAUCAACCACUGGAAAUAUAUGUGAAACUAUGAGAAAUCUGUCAGCUCUCUCAGAGCUCCCCAGAUCUACCCUGGUGCUGUGGUCACAGUCUGGCUGCAUACUGGUCUAAAGUUGUGUGAAUUAAUCAAGAAUCUUGCUCUAGAUUGUGUUUACUGGUGAUGUUUUUACUGCUAUAUGAUUUUUUUUUUUUUUUAAAUCUGCCAGCUGGAGAGGGGAGUUAUGCCUAAUUUAACAGCCAUUGAUCACACCGUCAAUAUUCAGGAUCCUAGUUCUUCCUUUUAUUGGAAAUGAAAACAAUACAAGCCACAUAUAUUGGAGAUACUAUUUUUUAUUUAUGAGCAUCAUAUGUGAAAUGUUGAUCUCUGGAAGGCAGGUAUGAAAGAGCAGGAGGCGGUUGAGGAGCCCCAGAGCCCCUCCUAGCAGCACUGGAGGCAGUGGGCUCUGGUUGCCUGCCCUCCCAGCUGGCUAAACUCAGGCUCAGAGCAUGUAUCUGCUGUCAUCCUGCCUUUCCUACUGCCUUCUUUGCUCUUCCCAGGAACAUCUCCAUGAAGCCAUAAUGCCCACCUCCCUCCCACUGCCUUCCUCACUGCCACCCACAUCGUUUACUUAUCACCAGUGCAACACCUGCCAGAUGCAGCAGUUUUUUCUCAUUUGGGCUAGUUUAUUCUUAAAAGGAAUUUAGCAGCUUAUUUUUAUCCUGAAUGAAGGCUGCAAUAUUGUUCAUGCUCUGCUUCAGUGAGGUUUCAUUAAAUUUCUACCCUAGUAUUAAUGAUUUUUUUAAACUAUCAGGAGUUCCAGAGAAAUUGCUGUCAAUGAUCACUACGUGCUCUGUGUUUAGCAGAGAAAGAUGCAGCUAAGAAUAUUUGCUAACCCAUAAAUUCCUUAGCAGAAUUGCUUUAGGUAAUGCCUCCACCUGCCAUGAAGUCUCCUGUGCUUCUGGCACUGGAGGACUGGAUCGCAGCAGAGGGCAGCUGGACAGCCGAGAGCAGCUUUGCCAAACCCUCUGUCAGCAGCAGGGUGCUUGGCCCCAACCUCAGCCACCGGCUGACACAGCAGCCCCCACGCCACCAGGGCUAUUUCUGUUGCUUUUAAGCAAGUGGUGCUGGGCUGCGGGAGCCCACUCCAGAUUCCUCCCAGUGUCAGCUGUUGCUACUGGUCAUACGUACCCACGAAUAUCGUACUGACCUAACCCUGCUCAAUUCAAGGCAGUCUUCUGGUGGGAAAACAAUGAAAGGUGGUCUCUUUCCACGCCUGGGCCAUGCAUUGGAGCACGGACUAGCAGCAGCUCUGUUGUGUGGCUCUGAAAUGGUGCACAGUGUUGUGAUCCAUUUCAGAAGCGUGCAGCUGCCUAGCAAAAAUGCUGCUUUACAAGGAAAACAAGAAAAAUAAUACAUAAAAAGAUGAAGGAGUAUUUUUGUAUUUCUUCCUCUGCCUUCAAAAUUCAUCGUAGUAUGA